rnacentral:rRNA from 1 species
GAGACGAUCAACCACAUCCUUCUUGGAUGUGUGGUCGCUAGACAAGUGUGGUUAUCCAGCCUUGACCACUAGGAUAAGCUAGCUUGGCUACCUACUGCAGUCGCCAACUUGAUGGAAUGGUGGACCUCUAUAAAUCCACAACCAAAACUUAGGAAGGAGACAUGGACUAUAAUCGCGCUAGUUGCAUGGCUGCUAUGGAAGCAUAGAAAUGAUGUGGUGUUCAACGGAAGGAUCCCUUCCACAAGUGAGCUUCUUAGGAGGAUUGGUUGGGCUAUUGCAUGA